CGCCCUUGAACCGGCCCUUGCAGCUGCCCUCUCGGCCGUGCUCUACACCGGCCCUUCAGCCGUCCACGGAGCAGCCCGUUGGGGGAUCCCCUCAGCCCGCCUCAGGGCGCCUCCUCAUCCCUCCUCAGACCGGUCCCGAGAGGUCCGUCAGCCGCUUCAGGUCGGCAUUUCAUGUUUUCAGUGUCCCUUCAGCACCCUCCGAGGUGCCCUGAGGGAAUCCCUCAGCCCGGCCAUGAUAAGAGGUUCCUCAGAAAGCUCAGCUCGGCCCUGAGGGGAUCCGCCCUCAGCCCAGCCCAGCCCGCUCAUGAGGAGGUUUUCCCUCAGGUGGUCCCCUCAGGCCGGUUGUGAGGGGAUUCCCCCUCAGCCCGGGGGAGGCCGGCUCUUACCUACCCACAGCAUCACCGGCGCAAUGGCUCAUGUCAUCAAUUUCCUUUAUCUGCCUCUACUAUUCUUCAGCACUGCACAACAAGCUUCAAACACACGGGUGGGCGGAAGUGUGGAGGUAGCUGGAAAAAAACAAACAAACCCACCAAACAAAACCAAUGGCUCCAGCACUACCGGCUUGUAGCCAACAAUGAACUCCAUGUGGGCUGUGCGGGCCCACCCUCAGAUGUGUGUUUUAAGAAUAAAUCUGUACAAAAGUUCUCCUUGGCUAUCCUGAGUGCCCAGAGCUGUCUCCCGUCACACGGGCUGGCAGGGAAGGGACAAUGUGAUGCAGGGCGAGGGCUCGCUGGGAUGUGCCACCGAUCUCACAACUUCCUGCUUGGCCCCAGAUGAUUUUCCUACUGCACAGAAGUAGCUGCAGGAGCAACACACAUCUUCAAAGGAAGUAAAAUUGCUCUGGAGUUCCCCCCACUGCAAACAGUUCUAUCCCGCUCCUAUAAAGUUCCACCUUUGAGCUAAGAACGGCCAAGAAACAUUUAAUUUCAAAAGGAAAAUCUUCAAAGACAUAAAAGUGUUCACAACCAGAGUGGCUCCAGCCUGUCAUACCUGUCAUAAAACUACAAAAGGACAGCCCGUGUGUGUGUGCUCAGCAUACCUGGCUGUGUCACACCCUGCCCACCAGUGACAGCAGAUUCAGACUAUGCCAGAAAUCUGGUGAGAUACCACCAACAUAAGUCUCAGGAUGCUACCAGAGAAAAGGGCACCUUUUGGGGAACAUGGCUGUUUGCAGAGAAGAAUGGCCAGUUGGACCACCUGUGGAAGACAAAACCCAGAUGUGAUCUCUGUUGAUAACCAGGCUGAACCUUACGUAGUUUAAGCAGUUACUACAGGCUGAGGAACUGGACCAUCAAGAGAACAUCACAUUGCCCUUCUGGAAAUAAUGGAAAUCAGCCUAGCUUGUUUCAAACCCAGUUUUCUUAUUCAGUUAAUAAAAAUCUUGGGGAAAAAAGCCCCACAUUUUUGUCUUCAAAAAGUCACAACAAUCUCUAAACCAGAACUGUCAAAGGGCUGGAGUCUCCCUGAAGAAAUGCUUUACCCAAAUGGACACCAGUGUAGCCACUACCAUUAUCAGGAGCAGUAACUGCAUAUGACAGUCUAACAUGUUCAACUGCAAAUAAUUAUGACUCAGUGCUAUUAUUGUCCUUUUCCUGUGUUUUGCUUUAUCUGAUUCAAAAUCAGAACUCAAACACAGACACAUAGACACACAGCUUCUCACUUAAGAAAAACAGAGCUACUAUAGAAUAAUAUGAUAUAGAAUACUAUACUACAGGAUCACAAACCCCAGAUUUUGGGUUACCCACAUACAAGCCUUAAACUGACCAAAUUCCAUGAAAAGUCAUAUCAUCAGGUGGUCACACAGGACAAUGACACAACUGUCUCUAGCACUGUGCAUUCUUAGGCUUCAAACAGAUUGCAGCUCUGCAGAACAAAAAUCACAACCCUGCAAUUAAACACCUACAUUCCCAUUAUGCCCAUGGUUAUCUCAUGGCUUCUUUUUUCUUCACAGAUUUCUCAGCUGAAUUAACCUGUGUUACUGACACUUGAUAUUACACAGUAGCAUUUACAAGCUCAUCCAGCUCAGAGGUUUCUUGUGAGAGAUGCUGUACCAGGGAGACUUGACAAGAAUCAAACAGCCCUCCCAAAGCAGUGAAGGGGGAUAUACAUUAACACAUAUCUCCAUGUUUUCCAGCAGUCACUCUCUCAGACAGGCUCUCUGCUCUAAACUACCUCUGGAGACCGCCCUCUGGAUCUCUCUAUUUCAUGCAUUCAGUGCUCACUGAUGUGAAUAACCUUCUGGUCAUUUGAAUCAUCACAUUCACACACGACACGUCUCACCGGGGAGGGCUCUGCACACUGACCAUGGCACCUCCAGAACAAGUUCAUUAAGCAAAGAGGAUACAAACAGUGCCCCAAGAUGCACAGAACUUUUAAGAUCUCUCAGAAGCCAAAUUAGACUUAAUAUUGAAAGUGCAGCAGUGUUUUAAUUCCUUGAAUUCAGCAGAAACAUGAUGGAGGCAAAGACAGUGAAUCAAAAGAAAAGUCCAUGAACAGAAGCUGGCAUCCCCAGGCCCAGUUCUUUUCUGAUCCUCACACUGUUGUGUUUAAAAAGAUAAAUUGGAUGCAGAAGAAGCUGUUUUUCUAUGAAAACAUUUAGCUUUUGCAACAAUACAAGCAGCUGCUCUCACUCUCCACUACAAUUCUGCAUAAAUGCUGGAAUAUUUGUUUGUGAAUCUUUCAGUUACAACAUUUUUAUAGAGUUCCAGGCUGCCUUCCAUAGAAUAGCUCAUGCCAACCAAAACCAAAUUAAAGGGGAAAAACCCCAAAAAACCUCACACCAAAAUAACCCCAAGCACUCCAAACAGCUCUAUUCACUCCCAGAGGUAGCUGAUACAGAAAGCAAACACUGCCACUGUCCUUUGUGAUUUCUUAACAAAAAUGGCCUUUGAUAUUCAGGUUUGUUGAAUGCCAUGAUCCAUCUCUAGAAGUCCUGGCCUUCAUUAUACUCAGAGGAAUCUUAAUGCUCCAAAUAAAUGGAGUUUGUGGUGUCACCUCAAGUCCCAGCAGGGACUACAAUUACUAGUAUGCCACAUUUUUGGCAAGUUUUGUUCUGUUUGAAUGAAGGAUGUAGACUCUGAACUUCUGCCUCCGCCCACUGGAGGAGUCAAUUCUGCAGAUGGUAAGAUGCAUCUUUGCCUUUAGUCCCACUUCUCAGAACAGCCAAAUACUUGAGGUCUGAUUAACUAGCAUUUAAGAACCCAGUGUGGAAUGGAUAGCUACAGAAAUAGCAUUCUUGCACUACCCCAGCAUUUUAGGAAGAGACUGCCAGAUCCAUGUGGGAGCAGAGGAAUCCUAAAACAAUAAGAACAGACCCAGCAGUUACCGAUUCAUAAACAGCUUCCUGGCAUCUUACAAAAGGGCUCAAGCCAUGAGAAGGCAAUUCUUGCAAAAACAUUAACAGAAAUGGUUCCACUGCUUUUCUUUGCCUACAUGAGGACAGGUAAAAGAUACAGUCACGCAGAGUGGAGCAGGCUGGGACUCCAACAGCUCUAUGUGGUUUGCUCAAUCAAGUUGAUUUAUUUCAAGACCAAAUUUCCUCAAGCAACUUUGAAAAUUCUGGAUUAGUACUAGUAGCUCUAAUUAGGACUGGGCAUUCAGUGCCCCAGACAUUGUCAUGAAAAUUGCAAGUCCAGUCUCAUAACAUCGUUAUGAGUUAGUAUCGGCAGGGUGAUUUGAAUUUAUAGGGCUCUAAGCAGACUGAAGCAUUUUCAGUUAAACAAAAUAUAUCUAUAACCUCAUCACCCAAAGGGUCAGUCUGAGCUUUCUGAAGAGGGGUUUAUUUUAUUUCAUUUCACACUUAGUAAUUUUCAUGCCUUUUCAGCAUUUACAGUGAAGCCAUUUGGUUUACAAUAGGAUAUUGGGAAUGCAGCCCCCUAGACUACCAGCAAGUACAUCCUAGGACUGAAUGGUUGCCUACAAUUCUGUGGGACAGGAUUUGACAACCAGGCAGCCAGGAUGGGAGGAACCAGCACCAGUUCCUAGUGGUUCAGCACUUAGUUCAACAGUUUCAAGCUCUGAAGGGCUCACUGGUGACUGAUUCACUUGAUCAAACAGAACAGAACACACAGAGGUUACUUCACUGGUGGGUUGCCCUGCCCAGCUUGUAAAGAGACCAAGAACACCUGUCAAAGAGCUCUUUGUGUAUCACAGCAAAUUCUGUACCAUGAGCAUUAAAAUAAAAAAGAAAGAAAAAGAAAGGCAGUCCUUCUUCAAAGCCAAAGUGCUACUCCAAAUUUAGAAAGCUGAGCUAGGUUUCUACCCAAGGUAGCAGUGGUUGCAGGUACAAGUGAGAUGCUUUGAAGGAAUCACAGUUUGAAUCAGGAUCAGGGAGUUUAAGAGCAAUUUGAGAAAGAACAUUCAAAUUAUUCUCAGAUCAUUCAUGCCUUAAAAGGAAAGAGAAAGAAUGAGGUUCUCAAUCCACUGCCUAGGUAAGGUAGCAUAGGGUAAGGGGUAGGUAAGAGGCACUUGAAUUUACCUCUUAUUGAAUGAAGAGAUAAGGGAGAGAAAAAAAAAUGCAUAGAUACUAAGUAAAGGGAUGUGUGCUGCCAAUUACAAAGUUACCUGCCACUCGUUAUUAGCAGUUUCUACUUCUUAGUGCAAAUAAUCCUGUAUCUUAAUAAGAAAAGCUUUAAAUUAGGCUUCAAUUUUGACACCAGAGGGAACUGACCACAUAACUAAAUGCUGGUUGUGAUUUGUGUAGGUGUGCUUUUACUUGGGUCAUCUUUCUUGUGUGCAAACAGAAUACAGCCACUGAGUGCUUGGUGUUUCACAGGGACCCUUUCACAAAGUUGAAAUAAUCAUGAGCCCAAUUAGUCAAGGGAAGGGUUAGAGGACGGUAACACUCUAGAAAGCCACCUGCUGAGAAAGAGGCUACAAUAAACAUACUAUUACCAUAGAAAGGACAAAUUUUGAUAACUUGGAAUAUAAAAGUAAACCAAGUUGAUAACAAGCAAAAGGACACAGAACAUUCUGUAAGCAAUAUUUUUGUUUUCCAGUCUGUUUUAACUUAAGAACAGAGCUGACAACAUACUGCCUCCUCAUUACCUAAUGGGAUAGAGCUGUCAGCAGUAGACCAGGCUGAAGCUACAGGAGCCUUGACAGAACUUCACAGGUUGUGAAAACAGCUGGAUGAGGGUGCUCUGAUCUGCUGACAUGAGACUUGCUGAUACCUGUUCACAGAGAGAACUUCCAGGAGCCUGGAAAGAUGCUCAUGUUGUGCCAAUAUUUUAAACAGAACUGCUGGCCUGACAGCCAGGCAUCAGUCCUGAGUAAAAUAGUGUAAGGGCUAACUUGAUUAAUUAAAAAACAGGGGGAUCAUGUAAUUAGUACCAACAAACAAGUGUUUAUCAGAAAAUAGAACUUGCCAAAUGCAUUUGAUUUUUAUUUUAAAGAGAUCAAAACUCUCCUUGCCUGCUGAAAGGUGUCAGUGUCACUGGACUGGACUCAUGCACACUUCACUUGGUAUUAUGUGACAUGCUCAUCAGGGAGCUAUGACAGCUGAGACUUACCACGACACAUUAAAUGAGUUAAACCUGGCUGUACAACAAGUCACACAAUACAAGAGAAGACAUUUUACUAAGCAUAAUUCUGAAGGAGUUGCUCAGGAAUUUCAGCUCUGUUUUCUUUAAUGCAUUGUAAGCAACAAAGGAGGACACAAUCAACAACCACAUCCUAAUGCUAAAGCUUUUAGUAAACGAGGACAGUAGAGUUUACUGCUGGGAAUGAUGGGGACUGCUUGGCAAGUUGGGAUGUUUUAGUGUAUGAGAACACAGAUCUGAGUCUUACAGGCAAAGGAAAGCAAUCCCUUUGGAAAGCUGACUAGGCUGACAGCAAGAAGCUCAAACUUGAGGAGUUCCCAGCACAGAGCUGUAGGAAAUGUGCUCUCAGCACUGGAACAGGCAGCGAGUGCUGUCACUGUUCAGUCGCAGUGUCACAUCUACCCCAGACACAGCAAGUGCAGCUUUGUUGACUGCCACUCAGGAAGGCUGUUGAUAAACAGAAGAGCACUCAGGAAACAGCUGCAAGAAAGAUGAAGGGGCUGGGAAUGAUGUUUGAUAACAACAGAUUCAAGAAGCACACAUGGGUUUGGGUUUCUAGGCCAACGGCUGAUUUGCACAGGGUUUUGUGCAUGUACAAAACUAAUUUUGUACAUGUAGGAAAACAAAUUCAAUUGUUACAGUUGUCUGUGUAAGAAAACUGUAAAAAAGCCCUGACCAGCUGGAUACAAACAGCAAACAAGGCACAUGUUUAUUAGCAAUGAGGAUGAUUAGCCAGAGCAAUUCACCAGAAAUUGUAGCAAUUCUACUUUACCAAAAAUUAUUCAAGCCAAAAUUAGAUAUUUUUCUGAAAACCUGUGUAGUUCAAACAGGAAUAAAAUUUACAGCAGUCUACAGAUAAAACAUAGAGGUUAUCACAUGAAAUAGGCAGAAAUGGCCUCAUCUGCUCUGAUAAUCUGUUUUUAAAUAGA